rnacentral:rRNA from 1 species
UACGAAGGGGGCUAGCGUUGUUCGGAAUCACUGGGCGGAAAGCGCACGUAGGCGGAUCUUUAAGUCAGGGGUGAAAUCCCAAGGCUCAACCUUGGAACUGCCUUUGAUACUGGGGAUCUUGAGUCCGGGAGAGGUGGGUGGAACUGCGAGUGUAGAGGUGAAAUUCGUAGAUAUUCGCAAGAACACCGGUGGCGAAGGCGGCCCACUGGCCCGGUACUGACGCUGAGGUGCGAAAGCGUGGGGAGCAAACAGG